rnacentral:rRNA from 1 species
AUUGAACGCUGGCGGCAUGCUUUACACAUGCAAGUCGAACGGCAGCACGGACUUCGGUCUGGUGGCGAGUGGCGAACGGGUGAGUAAUACAUCGGAACGUGCCCAGUUGUGGGGGAUAACUACUCGAAAGAGUAGCUAAUACCGCAUGAGAACUGAGGUUGAAAGCAGGGGAUCGUAAGACCUUGCGCAACUGGAGCGGCCGAUGGCAGAUUAGGUAGUUGGUGGGAUAAAAGCUUACCAAGCCGACGAUCUGUAGCUGGUCUGAGAGGACGAACAGCCACACUGGGACUGAGACACGGCCCAGACUCCUACGGGAGGCAGCAGUGGGGAAUUUUGGACAAUGGGCGAAAGCCUGAUCCAGCAAUGCCGCGUGCAGGAUGAAGGCCUUCGGGUUGUAAACUGCUUUUGUACGGAACGAAACGGUUCUCUCUAAUACAGAGGGCUAAUGACGGUACCGUAAGAAUAAGCACCGGCUAACUACGUGCCAGCCGCCGCCGUAAUAC